rnacentral:tRNA from 1 species
GCGUGGCGGAGUCCAGUAAAUGCAGAAGGCUGAAACUCUUUAACCAGAGGUUCAAAUCCUCUCCCUAGCA